rnacentral:rRNA from 1 species
GUGCCAGCAGCCGCGGUAAUACGGAGGAUGCGAGCGUUAUCCGGAUUUAUUGGGUUUAAAGGGUGCGUAGGCUGUGAAUCAAGUCAGCGGUUAAAUGUCGGGGCUCAACCUCGGCCUGCCGUUGAAACUGGUUUACUAGAGUGGGACAGAGGCAUGCGGAAUGCGAGGUGUAGCGGUGAAAUGCAUAGAUAUCACGCAGAACUCCGAUUGCGAAGGCAGCGUGCCAUGUCCCAACUGACGCUGAGGCACGAAAGUGUGGGUAUCGAACAGGAUUAGAUACCCUGGUAGUCCACACAGUAAACGAUGAAUACUAACUGUUCGGUGCGAUUGAGCAUUGAGCGGCACAGCGAAAGCGUUAAGUAUUCCACCUGGGGAGUACGCCGGCAACGGUGAAACUCAAAGGAAUUGACGGGGGCCCGCACAAGCGGAGGAACAUGUGGUUUAAUUCGAUGAUACGCGAGGAACCUUACCCGGGCUCAAACGUAGGGGGAAUAACCUGGAAACAGGUUAGUCAGCAAUGACCGCCUACGAGGUGCUGCAUGGUUGUCGUCAGCUCGUGCCGUGAGGUGUCGGCUUAAGUGCCAUAACGAGCGCAACCCCCAUCUUUAGUUGCUAACAAGUUAAGUUGAGGACUCUAGAGAGACUGCCGGCGCAAGCUGCGAGGAAGGCGGGGAUGACGUCAAAUCAGCACGGCCCUUACGUCCGGGGCGACACACGUGUUACAAUGGCGGGGCACAAAGGGAUGCGCGGUGGCGACACCAAGCCGACCCCCAAAACCCGUCUCAGUUCGGAUUGGAGUCUGCAACCCGACUCCAUGAAGCUGGAUUCGCUAGUAAUCGCGCAUCAGCCACGGCGCGGUGAAUACGUUCCCGGGCCUUGUACACACCGCCCGU